UACGUAGGGUGCGAGCGUUAAUCGGAAUUACUGGGCGUAAAGCGUGCGCAGGCGGUGGCUCAAGCCAGGCGUGAAAUCCCCGGGCUUAACCUGGGAAUGGCGUUUGGGACUGGGUCGCUAGAGUGUGGCAGAGGGAGGUGGAAUUCCACGUGUAGCAGUGAAAUGCGUAGAGAUGUGGAGGAACACCGAUGGCGAAGGCAGCCUCCUGGGCCAGCACUGACGCUCAUGCACGAAAGCGUGGGGAGCAAACAGGAUUAGAUACCCUGGUAGUCCACGCCCUAAACGAUGUCAACUGGUUGUUGGGGAAGGAAACUUCCUUAGUAACGAAGCUAACGCGUGAAGUUGACCGCCUGGGGAGUACGGCCGCAAGGUUAAAACUCAAAGGAAUUGACGGGGAUCCGCACAAGCGGUGGAUGAUGUGGAUUAAUUCGAUGCAACGCGAAAAACCUUACCUACCCUUGACAUGCCAGGAAGCCUGCUGAGAGGCGGGUGUGCCCGAAAGGGAGCCUGGACACAGGUGCUGCAUGGCUGUCGUCAGCUCGUGUCGUGAGAUGUUGGGUUAAGUCCCGCAACGAGCGCAACCCUUGUCACUAAUUGCCAGCAUUUAGUUGGGCACUUUAGUGAGACUGCCGGUGACAAACCGGAGGAAGGUGGGGAUGACGUCAAGUCCUCAUGGCCCUUAUGGGUAGGGCUUCACACGUCAUACAAUGGCGCAUACAGAGGGUUGCCAACCCGCGAGGGGGAGCCAAUCCCAGAAAGUGCGUCGUAGUCCGGAUUGUUCUCUGCAACUCGAGAGCAUGAAGUCGGAAUCGCUAGUAAUCGCGGAUCAGCAUGUCGCGGUGAAUACGUUCCCGGGUCUUGUACACACCGCCCGUCACACCAUGGGAGUGGGGUUCACCAGAAGCCGGUUGCCUAACCGCAAGGGGGGCGCUGACCACGGUGAGCUUCAUGACUGGGGUG
rnacentral:rRNA from 1 species